CCUACGGGAGGCUGCAGUGAGGAAUAUUGGUCAAUGGACGAGAGUCUGAACCAGCCAAGUAGCGUGAAGGAUGACUGCCCUAUGGGUUGUAAACUUCUUUUAUAAAGGAAUAAAACGAGGCACGUGUGCCUUUUUGCAUGUACUUUAUGAAUAAGGAUCGGCUAACUCCGUGCCAGCAGCCGCGGUAAUACGGAGGAUCCGAGCGUUAGCCGGAUUUGUUGGGUUUAAAGGGAGCGUAGAUGGGUUGUUAAGUCAGUUGUGAAAGUUUGCGGCUCAACCGUAAAAUUGCAAUUGAUACUGGCAGUCUUGAGUACAGUUGAGGUAGGCGGAAUUCGUGGUGUAGCGGUGAAAUGCUUAGAUAUCACGAAGAACCCCGAUUGCGAAGGCAGCUUACUAAACUGUGACUGACAUUGAUGCUCGAAAGUGUGGGUAUCAAACAGGAUUAGAUACCCCUGUAGUC
rnacentral:rRNA from 1 species